CUCCACUGGAGGGAGCAGCUCCCUGCUUCCUCAAGGGGAAUGGUGUGCCCCUGGGACUAAUUUCCUAGGCUCCCCAAAAGAACACAGAGAUACGCUUGCCAGUCACAGAAGACAGGAGACAACAGGAGGAGGGCUGCUGUUGUUGGUGUCUUCUCUGUUUCUUUCCUUUGCUUGAUGGGAGCAGGUUCAUAGAAGAUGGGGUUCAUCAUGCUGAAUAUACAGUAACCACAGAGGAUGAAGUGAUCCUAGCUGGAGCCCCUUCCUUUUGGCUGGUGGGCACAAUGAGUUGAGCUCUGGGUACUCAUACAGGCACUCCAAUGGGCAAAAGGUAAAAAGCCUUGCAUGCUGUGACAAGUGGUGCCCUCUUUUGAAAAGAGAAAACUCACCAUGGAAAGUGAUAUUCCACUGCUGAUCAGCAUGUGAGGCUUUCUUGAAACUCAACAUGUGAGGGUUGAAGGCAAAACAUGAGGGGUGAUAAACUAGGAGAGAAAAAUUGAAGUAACCUACAGCUACAAGUCAGUUUGGAAGAUCAACCUCCAAAGCCUGGCAAAGGAACAAGGAUGCAUUCAAAUCUUAAUCCCAUAUAAGAGGACUUAAGUAGCCAUGAAAUAGCCUGGCCUGUCUGCAGCAAGUUUGCAAAUUAGGACUUUUCCAGCCAGAGGUCUCUUGUCUGUCCCAUUGCUAAGCAAGUGGGGGAAGUGUUUCUUUAGAUACACUUUCUUUUAUCUUUUGUUUUUGUCUUCUCAUUUAUGUUACUGCUAUGGAUCAAAUGUAUCUAAAGAAAAAAAGGGCUUUAAGCAGUGACUACUGUCCCUUUCAAAAACAUGUAGAGGUUGGGUUCAGAUCCUUAGCUUACUUAAUUGUUAAUUGUAAUUUGCCAGCAAUGUCCUUGGUUGUCAUAUGAGGGUAACUUAGACACAAAUACUGGAAAUGAUUGAUUAUAAAUUAAAGUAAUCUCUUGGCUCAGUAUGGGUGCUUACUUUGCAAUGUGGCAUCUUU
rnacentral:lncRNA from 1 species